GGGCCCGCACAAGCGGUGGAGCAUGUGGUUCAAUUCGACGCAACGCGAAGAACCUUACCUGGGCUCGAAGCGCAGUGGAAUCCGGUGGAAACAUCGGCGCCCCUUAAAAGGCCGCUGCGGAGGUGCUGCAUGGCUGUCGUCAGCUCGUGUCGUGAGAUGUUGGGUUAAGUCCCGCAACGAGCGCAACCCUUAUCCCUAGUUGCCAUCGGGUCAAGCCGGGCACUCUAGUGAAACUGCCUCGGAUAACGAGGAGGAAGGUGGGGAUGACGUCAAGUCCUCAUGGCCUUUAUGUCCAGGGCUACACACGUGCUACAAUGGUCGGUACAAACCGUCGCAAACCCGUGAGGGGGAGCUAAUCGGAAAAAGCCGGCCUCAGUUCGGAUUGGAGUCUGCAACUCGACUCCAUGAAGCUGGAAUCGCUAGUAAUCGCGGAUCAGAACGCCGCGGUGAAUACGUUCCCGGGCCUU
rnacentral:rRNA from 1 species